UACGUAGGUGGCGAGCGUUGUCCGGAUUUACUGGGCGUAAAGGGAGCGUAGGCGGACUUUUAAGUGAGAUGUGAAAUACCCGGGCUCAACUUGAGUGCUGCAUUUCAAACUGGAAGUCUAGAGUGCAGGAGAGGAGAAUGGAAUUCCUAGUGUAGCGGUGAAAUGCGUAGAGAUUAGGAAGAACACCAGUGGCGAAGGCGAUUCUCUGGACUGUAACUGACGCUGAGGCUCGAAAGCGUGGGGAGCAAAUGGG
rnacentral:rRNA from 1 species